CCCAUACAAAGAAAGCUGUAUUUACAUUACUUCUUUUCAUGGCUGUAAAGUCGAAAAGAAAAUUGAGAUUAUUUUGUAGUAUCCACUGCAGAUGCUAAUCACCAGAUUUGCUUUCUUCUUGUGGGAAACCUUCUGCUUGGGGAUACCUGACGAUUAACUAUACAUACAUAGCAUAUAUAUACAUGUAUGUACCUGUCACCAGCAUUUCUUACCAUAAAUGAGCUUCCUAUCAUUCUGAAAUAUCCAAAGAUGCCUGAAACAUUCUUCAAAAAAUUUCAUAAAUUGAGUAAGAAUAGGAACUAUUUUCUGUGGGAUUUUUUUCUGUAAACUUUUUGUAGUCCUAUUUUGUUUAUCCACAGAACUUUACUUUUCUCUUCCCCACACUCCUCUUUAAGUUAUAAUUGUAGAUUUUUGCAGCUUUUUUGCUUAUGAAUUGCUCAAGUGGGCUGUCAGGUAAAGCUUCUCAAUUUAAAUUCUAUAUUUAGACAUACACUUUCCACGUCUGAUUUUUUUUCCUUACCUUUCUUAAGCAGCAUUUAGCAGGAUGUGUGUUGACGUGUGUGCAGUGUAAAUAUGUGCUUUAAAUGACUAAGUUUCCUGGAUAACCUAGGACUUAUAGAGAGAUUAGGUACUACAGCUUAGAAGAUCAUUUCUCACAAUUUCUUGGAACUAUAGGGUGUGGGCAGGAAGACUGGAGCCUUUUAUCUUCCACCAUGUCAUAUAGCCAUUUAAAACCUUCAGUGUUUUUCAGUAGCUUUGAUUUUACACUGGGUCCAAGCCACACGUAGAUGUGCCAUAUAUUAAAUAAGACAAAUUAUAUAGAAAAUUUAAGUAGGGGAUAUGGCCACACCUAUGACCAAAGUUUUUUAUUCUAACCUUUUAUGUUCAGAGAAUAUCAAAAUCUGUAAAAAGCUCUCAUUUGAAGAAAGAUGUUCCCUGUCCUUUCCUCAGCUAAAGAUGAUGACAUGUUGAGGAAUUUGAUAAAAAAUUAGUUCCGUAAGUAUUAUCACUACAAAGAAGCAAAAGCCAUCUUCUGAUGGUAAAAUUGAGAGCCAGUCAAAUGUCAACUGAUCCAAAUGGCUGAAAAUAAAAUGUCAGAAUGAGGAAACCUUGCUGAACACAUUUUACUUUAAAUAGCUGCCAAGAACAGGAUUCUUUUAGGGGUGACUAUGCCCGCUCUGUGGACAGCAACUACACUCCAGAAAUAAAGGAACCAUAUAUGCAUUUCUCCUUCUGCUAAGGAGAAGCUUAAAGGCUAACCUCUGGGCCCCUUGACUUGCUCUUCAAGACAGACCACUUUCAGGGUUCAUCAAUACUACAAGCUUUCUGUCAUCAAGGGUGUGUGCUGCAGGAUUGGAACAUCUGGGCAUGGCUACUCCAGCACAAAACACACAGCCAGCACCGCACACACACACACACACACACAGACACACACACACAGUGUUCUUGUUACUAACUAGAUGCAACUAGUUAACUUGUUCCUUCACUAGUCAUGCAGUACAUAAUGACACUUAGGUCAAUGACUGACCACAUACAUAACAAUGGUUCCAUAAAAUUAUAAUACUUUACAUUUACUGUACCUUUUCUAUGUUCUGAUACACAAAUACUUGCCAUUGAGCUACAAUUUCCAACAGUAUUCAGUACAGUAAUGUGCUGUACAGGUUUGUAACCUAGGAGCAAUAGCCUAUACCAGAUAGCCUAGGUGUGUAGUAGGCUAUACCAUUUAGGUUUGUGUAAGCACAUUCUGAUGUUUGCGCAACAACGAAAUCGCCUAAGGAUGUGACUUAAACAAUGCAUGACUCUAUUUCAUUUAUAUUUCUACUGGAGAGCUAGUAUUUUUUGCUCUUGCGUAGUUCAAAUUCAGUCUUUCCUCACUGGCCCCCGAACCUAUCUGUUAAUUCCAAGUUGAACAGCUCUUUCUCUGCAGGACCCAACCUUGACUGUGGGCUUCUAUUUCUCAAUCCUUGAUUCCCCUUAAACCAAUUUUAAUCAAGUUUCCCUACUCUAAUUUUUAAAAAUGGUACUUCAAAUAUCAACACUCUGCCUCAAAUCUCACAGAAUAAUCUAGUUUCUCCUAUGAUGAUUGUUUGCUCUUCAUAUUUUUACCUUUAAAGAAAAAAAACCUCACACUAAAAAUCAAUUGUUUCUGAAAAUGAUAUUAAUCUCUUUCUUCUAGAGCCUGUCACAUUUUAACUUUCUCUAUUUCUUAUUCUAUGUUAUAAAUUUCUCGUUAAAAAAUGCCAAAUAUAGACUUCUCACCUUCCUUGUCUUUAAAACCCAAUUAAAUUACUAUUAUUUUUCUCAUAUCUAAAGAGUGUUAUAUUAAAUCUACCUAGGAUUAGACCAAGGUGUUCGCCAGGUCACACUACAUGUCUUCAGAAGUUGAAAAUGUACUUACGGUUUUGAAAACUAGUCAUUCUUUAAAAUACUGUUAAAGUGCAGUGUACUUAAAACAAUCUCAGAAAAACCUUUUUGUAAUUUGAAUUUCACCAACUAAUUAUCUUCCUUGUGAAUUCUAAUCUUAAUAAAUUGAGUUGUUGUAAAGCAAGUACCACCUAUACUUAAUCUCCACGUCCUCAGGAAAAUAUUUUGGAGCACUGGAGACAAAGGCUUUACGUUCUUUAGCUGCUCUGUUCUGCUCGCCCUGUAGACCAGAGAUCUCAAAUGUUUUGGUCUCAUGAGUCCUUAACAUUCUUAAGAAGUAUGGAGGAUUCCAAAGAGCCUUUUUUAUGUUGGUUAUAUCUAUUAAUAUUUACCAUAUUACAAAUUUAAAACUCAGGAAUUUUAAGGACAUGUAUUUAUUAAUAAAUAGCUUAAAAUAACAAUAAACCCAUUUUAUGUUAACAUAAAUAUGUAUUAAUGAAACAUAACUAUAUUUUCCAAAUGACAAAAAAUUAGUGAGAUGGAUUUGGCUCCACAUUUUUGCAAAUUUCACUAACGUCUGGCUAACAGCUGGAUGUUCAUAUGUGCAUCUGCAUUCAGUCUGUUGUGAUAACUCACUUCACGUUUCAUCUGCAAAACUCAACUGCACACUUCUUAGAGACUAGGAGUGGAAAGACAAGUAAUAUUACAAAAAAAUAGUUUUGACUUUGAGAACCCCCUGAAGGUGUCUUAAGAACCCCUUAAGAGUCCUCAGAUGACACUUUGAGAACUGCUGCUAUAGAGUCAUAGUAUUUGUUCAAAUUAAGAAGUAAAGUCUAAGUAGAGUGAGGAACAAUGGUGGAGAUAGUAAAUGCAGAAGAGUGUAAUGUGUCUAACUGAGAAAGGACAAGGUUAUGUUAGGAUGGAGCAAACCUGCUGGCCAUUAACUGGUAGAAUCAUAAUGAGAUUUUUGUCUUAGGAUAAGUUACAAACAGGGUUGGAGGAUGUAUUUGGCAAAAGGGCAAGAUGUGUGGUAGGUGAUGGUAGAGUACUCUAGAAAAUUUUAGUGUGUCCUUUCUUCUUUCUCUGCAAUUCUGUGGGGAAUGAGCAUCACCUUUUCCAGCAAAGGCUAUCUAGUCUGAAAUACUACCACUUUACCACAUUAUUUUAUAUAUUCUUAAGGACAUGUCUUUCAGUUCCAAGCAUCAUUCUGCUCCCUUAGUCCCAAUCGUAUAGGAAAGAGAUACUUGUCUUGCAUAGUAAACACAAAAACCAAGAACAGCAACAAGAAGUAAGCAAACAAACAAGCAAAAUAUUGGCACAAAGAUCAUGUUUAUAACCUUGUUUGUGGAGAAGAAAACUCAAGGGUAUCAUUUUUAUUAAAUUUCUGUUCAACAAAUUUCUUCUUGACAUCAUAGUUUUCUAUCACCUUACUUAUUCAGUUGCUGUUUCAGUUGUUACUAUGAAAACAGAACACGCCUAAACAGAUUUACCUCCAAUGGAAAUCAGAUGUUUUCAUGGGAAGGUGUGCCUUUUCUUCACCCUUUGAUCACCCUCUUUGUGGGCCUCUGAUUUCAGGCCCAUGCUGUUGAGGAAGAGAGUACUUCCAGGUUUGGAGAUGGAGGCAGGGGCCCCAGUAAUGUAGCAGGUCCUGCUUUCGGUAAGUGGGUGCCACUGUCUUCCCAUAGCUACUUAAAAGCUGUAGGAAGUAUAGUGUGUUUCCUACUAAGUCCGCUUGCCAGUCCUGGUUUUUUAAUUAUAUGUUUAGAAAUGAGUUUCUCCACUGAAACAAUGGUUACAUGGAGAGUUUUUUUUUUCCUAUAGUCUUCAUAGAAUGACUACUUUUUUAAAAAAAAUUAAUUAUUAGAGUCCUCUGUGUGCAUGAGAGGGAAAGACUGAGACAGAGUGAGAGAGGAAAGAAAGGGUAAUUUUGUUUUCAGGAUUAAGAAUCUGUAUCAAAAAGAUCUACUAAGCAAACUUACCAAAGCCAUACUCUGGUUUGAGCUAAGAGAGGCCAAUCUUUUGUUGAACAGCCUAAUGUAAUAAAUUGCAAUCGAAGGGCUUUAGAUUUCUGUACAAAGUUUUCAACCAGAUCUAAUUGGAAGUGCAACUCACAUAGCCAGGAGCAUUCUAAAAAACAGAGCAGUGAAUUAACACUAUUUUUAAAAGUCAAGAAGUCUCUUCUCCUUCCAAAGGAGAGUUUUUCAGACAUUAGCUUCAACUGCCAAACAUUAUACAGAAAGUCCUUUUAUAGAGAUUUUCUCCCUUGACCUUCUAGUUUUCCCCCUCUUUCCACUCUAUCUCCACUCCCCUUUCCUGCUCUCUCCUUUCCCUGCCAAUUCUUCACCGCACUCCCAACCAUCAGCUGUGAAGGAAGCAAGGAUUGUAUCAUAAAUGACCUAUUAAUCAGCGGUUUCCUAGAUAAUUUUGCUGAGGAAAGUAGAGUUUUGGAGAACCUAGGCUGGUUUCCAGUCAAAUAAGAAAAUGUUCAAUAUGUAUCUGAAGCUUUUGUUAAAUUAGAUUGAGGUAGUGAUUAUAUCUGACUGCAAAAAAAAAAACUUUAAAGUGUCUUUUUUCCUAAACUAUGGAGUUUUUUUAUGUGAUAACACUGGAUUUACCAAUGUAUCUGCUUAAUCUUAGCAAAUGGCAGUGUAGACAUACCCUUGUUCAAAAUGACCCUCUUAGGUAGAGUCAUUUAAAUGGGGGAUAGUAAACUAAUCUUUCUUUUUAUCCUCCCUCAUUCCCACCCUGCACUACAUCCUCCUCGAAUAUUGGAGCAGUUCCAGCAGAUGUCUUAUGAAAAUAAGAGCCAGAGGUAAAAUAGUACCUUCCUCACCGCCCACCACACGCUCCCAAGAUACCCAGGCCCUAAUCUACAGAGUGUGUGAAUAUGUUAUGUUACACGACAAAGGGACUUGGCAGAAGUGAUUACGGCCAUAGACCUUGAGAAGGAGAGAUUUUCCUGGAUCAUCUUGGUAGACCCAAUCAUAAUACAUGAGCCCUUAAAAGCAGAUUAUUUUCUCCAGCUGGAAUCAUAAGGAUGUAGCGGGAGGAAUGUGGUAGAAGUGAAAGUGAGAGAGACUGAAAGAAGGCAAAUGAUGUGACACAUUGCUACUGGUUUGAAGAGGGAGGUGGAAGGUUGACAAAGAAUGCAGGAAACCUUAAAGAGCCGAAGAAGCUGGACUGACAGCCAGCGGGGAAACAGUGACCUUAGCCCUACAACCAAAAGGAGCUCAAUUCUGCCAACAGAGCUUGAAAGCAGAUUCCUCAGAGCUUCCAGAUGAGAGCAGAUUGGCAGGCACAUUGAUUUCAUCCUCACAAGACCUGGAGCAGACCAACCAGCUGACCACCUGAACCCCCCGUACAUCCGACCUGCAGAAUUAUGAAGAAACAGAGACUCCAAAAGAUCAAGUGUCUUUUCUCAGACCACGUAGCAGAGUUGAUACCAGAGCCCAAGUUUACUUCCUCCUGCAUACAAGCAAGCAGAACAAGGCAAAGAGCAAAGCAGAAGAACCCAGAAUGGCAAACUUAUCUUCAUGUUUCAUGUAAAGAAAUAUUCCAACUCCUUUUCCCAGUGAAUAAGACUUAUUGCCUCUAAAAUACACUUCUUACUGACACCACAUUUCUCUCCUAGCAUAAACUAUGACAUUUUUCCCAAAUUAUUAAUUAUAACUGUCAUUUCUGAGCCCAGAGCCAGAGAUAAUCAUACUGCUGAAAACCAAGCUGGUUCUUAUACUAAAAAUGAAGAAAUGUGGGAAAACAUCUAUAAAUCACCCUCCAACCUAUUUUAGUCAAAAAGAAACCUGUGUAUCUCAUAGUUGAAAGUCAAACUUAUAGGAUUACAAGCAGAACCAUCAUCUAAUUUAUUGUCUAAAUGGGACACCUUUUGAGAGUGAUGGAGAAAGCUAUUUAUAAUUACUCUACAACAAGAACCAUAAACCGAUACUAGUCUGGGCACCCUAGCUAUCAGAUAAUUUAUUUCUGAAUCACAAAAACAGUCCUUCUCUAAUAUUUUCUUAAGAAUCCAAUCACUUUCAUAUGUGAAAAAAUUCAUUGCUAGAGAAUGCAUUUUAAAAAAAUUAACAGACUUUAACUUUUAGAGUAAUUUUAGGUUUAUAGAAAAACUAGCACAAAGUACAGGGUUCCUAUAUGCCCCCUGAUCCACUCCUCCCCAUUUUCCCUUAUUAUUCACACCUUGCACUGGUGUAGUACAUCUGUCAUUAUUGAUGAGCUAAUAUUGAUACAUUAUUAUUAACUAAAAUCCAUAGUUUACAUUAGGAUUCAUUCUGUGGUGUAUAUUCUAUAGGUUUUAUCAAAUGUGUAAUGACAGGUAUCCACUGUUACAGUAUCAUACAGAAGAAUGUCACUGCCCUAAAUAUCCUCUGUGCUCUGCCUAUUGGUCCCUCCCUCCCGCCAAACUGCUGGCAAUCACUGGUAUCUUUAGUGUCUCUAUUAUAGUUUUGUAAAGAAUGGCACAUGGUUGAAAUCAUACAGUAUGUAUGUAGCCUUUUCAUACUGGCUUCUUUCCAGUCAUUUGUUUUUUAAAUUUCAAAUCCUUAUUGUUAAGUAAGAACACAACAUUAUGAAGAAAGAAGUGAUUAUUUUAAAUAUACCAUACGAUUUAAAGACUCCUGUGCAAGAGCCGGGCACGGUG
rnacentral:lncRNA from 1 species